UUUUUGUAUGGAGCUACUUCCAAGUUGGUCCCGUAUUAAUCUGGUUCUGAUCUGAUGAUGGGAUCCCUGAGGAAUUAAGGGAACUCCUCAAUUUUUAAAGGCACAUGUAUGUUGGGUGUUUUCUUAAGCAACUCGAGCAUUUUCUCUCGAAAACCACCAAUUUGAU